CAAGGAAUCUUCCGCAAUGGGGGCAACCCUGACGGAGCAACGCCGCGUGGGGGAUGACGCCCUUCGGGGUGUAAACCCCUUUUCUGCGGGAAGAAGGUGGGGCAACCCACUUGACGGUACCGCAGGAAGAAGGACCGGCUAACUACGUGCCAGCAGCCGCGGUAAUACGUAGGGUCCGAGCGUUGUCCGGAGUUACUGGGCGUAAAGCGCGCGUAGGCGGCGGUGCUGGCCCGGCGUGAAAGCCCCCGGCUCAACCGGGGAGGGUCGUCGGGGACCGCACCGCUUGAGGGCGGUAGGGGCUGGUGGAAUGCCUGGUGUAGUGGUGAAAUGCGUAGAGAUCAGGCGGAACACCCGUGGCGAAGGCGGCCAGCUGGGCCGUCCCUGACGCGGAGGCGCGAAGGCGUGGGGAGCGAACGGG
rnacentral:rRNA from 1 species